GGGGCGCCUGUGGGAGCCGUGGAGGGAACUUUCCCAGUCCCCGAGGCGGAUCCGGUGUUGCAUCCUUGGAGCGAGCUGAGAGCUCGAGUACAGAACCUGCUAAGGCCAUCAAACCUAUUGAUCGGAAGUCAGUCCAUCAGAUUUGCUCUGGGCCGGUGGUACCGAGUCUAAGCACUGCGGUGAAGGAGUUAGUAGAAAACAGUCUGGAUGCUGGUGCCACUAAUAUUGUGCUGGGAUUACAGGCAUGAACCACCGCGCCUGGCCCCCGUUCUCCUUACUGGAUCUAAAGCUUAAGGACUAUGGAGUGGAUCUCAUUGAAGUUUCAGGCAAUGGAUGUGGGGUAGAAGAAGAAAACUUCGAAGGCUUAACUCUGAAACAUCACACAUCUAAGAUUCAAGAGUUUGCCGACCUACCUCAGGUUGAAACUUUUGGCUUUCGGGGGGAAGCUCUGAGCUCACUUUGUGCACUGAGUGAUGUCACCAUUUCUACCUGCCAUGUAUCGGCGAAGGUUGGGACUCGACUGGUGUUUGAUCACUAUGGGAAAAUCAUCCAGAAAACCCCCUACCCCCACCCCAGAGGGAUGACAGUCAGUGUGAAGCAGUUAUUUUCUACGCUACCUGUGCACCAUAAAGAAUUUCAAAGGAAUAUUAAGAAGAAACGUGCCUGCUUCCCCUUCGCCUUCUGCCGUGAUUGUCAGUUUCCUGAGGCCUCCCCAGCCAUGCUUCCUGUACAGCCUGCAGAACUGUGAGUCAAUUAAACCUGUUUUCUUCAUAAA
rnacentral:lncRNA from 1 species